ACAGACCAACUAGACAUACAGGUGAAAUGAACAAGUCAAUGAAGACAUACUCAAAAUCACCUGUGAACAGACCAACUAGACAUACAGGUGAAAUGAACAAGUCAAUGAAGACAUACUCAAAAUCACCUGUGAACAGACCAAUAGACAUACAGGUGAAAUGAACAAGUCAAUGAAGACAUACUCUCUCCUUGGGCUUCUGUGGUACAAUAGGUUCCCAGUACUGUGCUUAAAAUCAACAAAUGGCAUUUGGGUGGUUACUAUGAAUGUUGUGUGGAUGCUUUAACCAAAAGGCUACCUCACCACCCC